GAGCGCCGACGUCAGCAGGCUAUGGCAACAUUGUGGCGAGGCUGAGACGCGGAGCUUAGCUGCGGCUUCUGUUGGGCAGGCAGCUCCGCGCGGGAGGGCUGCCGGGAGUGCAGCCCUGAGGCGCGGGUGGCCGCCUCGCCCCGAGAGCGCUCGGCGGGGCGCGGGCGGGCGAGCGACCUCGCGGCGCUUGCUUUGUCUUCUCCGCACCAGUCGGCGGAACGGGGAGGGGGAGCGGCCAAGAUGGCUGCGGGCGCCCGGCGUGGCUGACGGGGUGGCGCGACACCAUGGCCUUCGCGCUGGAGGAGACGCUCGAGGCCGACUGGGUGGCCGUGCGGCCCCAUGUGUUCGACGAGCGCGAGAAGCACAAGUUCGUCUUCAUCGUGGCCUGGAACGAGAUCGAGGGCAAGUUCGCCAUCACCUGCCACAACCGGACGGCGCAGCGGCAGCGCAGCGGUUCCCGGGAGCCGGCCCGGCCCGAGGUCUCGGCCCCCGCCACGCCAGCCCGAAGUCUGGGACCCCGCUGGAGCGCGGCCGGUGGAGGGGCGGGGAGCCCUGGCAGUAGCCCAGCGCACAGGGCCGCGGAGCCUGGAGAUGCCCCGCCGGCGGCCACGGUGCGCGUGCUGAGCGCCUGCGGGGCGGCCACCGAAGAAAUCGAGGUGCUGGACGCGGGCGCAGAGCCUGAGCCGCCGGGCGAGGAGUGCAGUUGGGCCGGGCUCUUCUCCUUCCAGGACCUGCGCGCCGUGCACCAGCAGCUGUGCUCUGUGAACUCGCAGCUGGAGCCCUGCUUGCCUGUGUUCCCCGAGGAGCCCUCCGGCAUGUGGACCGUGCUGUUCGGGGGCGCCCCCGAGAUGACCGAGCAGGAGGUGGACGCUCUGUGCCUCCAGCUACAGGUCUACCUGGGUCACGGCCUGGAUACCUGCGGCUGGAAGAUCCUGUCCCAGGUGCUUUUCACCGAACCCGACGACCCCGAGGAGUACUAUGAGAGUCUCAGCGAGCUGCGCCAGAAGGGCUACGAGGAGGUGCUGCAGCGGGCCCGGAGGCGGAUCCAGGAGCUCUUAGAUAAGCACAAAAACAUUGAGAGCAUGGUGGAGCUUCUGGACUUGUAUCAGCUGGAGGAUGAGGCAUACAGCAGCCUUGCAGAAGCCACAACUGAGCUCUACCAGUACUUGCUACAGCCCUUCCGAGACAUGAGGGAGCUUGCCAUGCUGCGGCGGCAGCAGAUCAAGAUAUCUAUGGAGAAUGAUUAUCUGGGACCCCGAAGAAUUGAGAGUCUACAAAAAGAAGAUGCUGAUUGGCAGCGGAAAGCUCACAUGGCUGUAUUGUCUAUUCAGGAUCUUACUGUCAAAUAUUUUGAAAUAACAGCUAAAGCUCAAAAAGCUGUCUACGAUCGAAUGCGAGCAGAUCAGAAGAAAUUUGGUAAAGCAUCAUGGGCAGCAGCUGCUGAACGAAUGGAAAAACUUCAGUAUGCAGUUUCCAAAGAAACUUUACAAAUGAUGAGAGCUAAAGAGAUCUGUUUGGAACAGAGGAAACAUGCACUGAAAGAAGAGAUGCAGAGUUUGCAAGGUGGCACAGAAGCCAUAGCUCGACUGGAUCAGUUAGAAGCUGAUUAUUAUGAUCUGCAGCUUCAGUUAUAUGAAGUCCAGUUUGAAAUCUUGAAGUGUGAAGAGUUACUGUUGACAGCACAGCUGGAAAGCAUCAAAAGACUUAUCUCAGAAAAGAGAAAUGAGGUGGUAUAUUAUGACACUUACGAGACCAUGGAGGCCAUGCUGGAAAAGGAGGGGAUGGCAGCGUCCAUGCACAUGCAAAGGGAGGAGCUGCUGAAACUGCAGCAGAAGGCACGCCAACUGGAGGCCAGGCGUGGCCGCGUCUCAGCUAAGAAAGCCUACCUCAGAAACAAAAAGGAAAUCUGUAUUGCAAAACACAAUGAAAAAUUCCAACAGCAUUUUCAGAGUGAAGAUGAAUAUAGAACUCAUCACACAGUACAACUGAAAAGAGAAAGAUUACAUGAUGAAGAGGGGAAAAAAAGUACCUGGGUAAGUCAGGAGAGGCAGAAGACGCUGGACAGACUCCGGACAUUCAAACAGAAAUAUCCAGGGCAAGUCAUACUCAAGUCAACCAGGUUACGGCUGGCUCAUGCAAGGAGGAGGAGCACAGCAAGCCCUGCACCCCGGGAGGACCAGUGUGACUCUACACCCGGGCCCCAGCAGGCAGAGCCCCCCAAGCAGGAGGGAGGCUGCGGCCAGCCUGGGCCACCACAGAUAGCAGCACCCCAGGGUCUCCAGAGCCUCACUCAACUUGAAGACUCUUCCCUAGCACAACUUGAAAACACGUCAUUACCUCUUAGUGGGGUCACCUCUGAACCACCUCCCACUGCAUCCCUUCCACUGUUGACUAGUAAUGACCUCAAACUACCUUCUGUCAUGGCACAUCCACUACCAACGCCGGUUCUGCCCACACCCCUGCCGCCACCACCACCACCACCACCACCACCACCACCACCUCCGCCUCCGCCUCUGCCUGUCCUGAAGGACAGUGCUGUCACUGCAGAGACACUGGAGACAGGGUCGCCCAGAAAGGAUGGGACUGAGAAGAGGAUCCCAAAGUCAGCCAACGCACCCUCAGCACACCUCUUUGACAGCAGCCAGCUGCUCAGUGCCCGGAGAAAGCUCAGGAAAACCACAGAAAGCUUGGAGAGGAGGAGAGUGAGCUCGCCCAUGGAUGAGGUGCUAGCAUCCUUGAAGCGUGGUAGUUUUCACCUGAAAAAAGUUGAACAACGAACUCUGCCUCCUUUUCCUGAUGAAGAUGAUAGUAACAAUAUCUUGGCACAAAUAAGGAAAGGAGUCAAAUUGAAGAAGGUACAGAAGGAAGUUUUGAGAGAGUCUUUCACACUACUGCCUGACACAGACCCACUAACACGGAGCAUCCACGAAGCUCUGAGAAGAAUCAAAGAAGCAUCCCCUGAAUCGGAGGAUGAGGAGGAGGCCUUGCACUGCACAGACUGGGAGAACUGAUGGCAUUGACCAAAAAGGAAAAGGGAAACACCAAGAUCUGGAGGGAAAUUAAAGACAGCUGACUUGAGACACGAAAACUGUCUGCGAAAGAAGAUUGGUUCUGAUUCUUUUGGAAAACAGUAGUUUAAACAGUUUGUCUCACAGUUGGAUUCCUUAGACCCAGAGUAUGCUGGCUCAGGUGGUGUGAAAGCAGAAGUGAGCACAGCUGGCAGUUCGUUGCCAGUCACCCAGCAGAUGGUGGGAGCAGGGUCAGGUGGGCAGUGCUUGUGGCCCCAGUGGAGGGCAGGCCUUCUUCCACUGCCCAGCGUGCCCUGCGAUGCUGGCUACCUACACUCAGUCACUGCAGCUGGAAGCACACUGGGCUGACAGUGUUUGCUUCUCAGCCAUCUUGAGUACAGACAGAAGUCUGCUGAAAAAUGCAGAGCUACUUCCAGAUCGGUGUAGAGAGUGACGCUCUGAAGAGGAGACGUUGGGGACGCUGGAGGUCAGAAAGUAAAUGCACAUCAAAUGGAAAUGCACUUAAACUUUUUACAUUACUCUUCUCCAAAAGAAUCUUCAUAAAGAUGCUCACCACCUGAGAAGCCAAUGGAAAUACACCUGUUAAUGUGUGUACCACAACAUUUAACAAGGCAUAUUUUUAGAAGGACACACAGUCUUAUACUUUGUAAGGAUUUGAAGUUAAAAUUUCCAUGCUUUUUUUUUUUUUUUUGGUCUUUUUCGCUUUUAUCGGUACCAGGGAUUGAACUCAUGACCACACACUUACAAGGCAGGCGCUUAUGCCUGCUAAAUCCCCUAUUUCCAUGCUUUUAAAUAGCUCUUCAUAAUUCUGAAUUUAUAGUAGUUUGAAUUUUAUGUAUAUCCUUGUUUGUGAGAAGCAAUACUUCAUGAUUUGAUAAUAUUUCAAAUUUCUUGUCUUUUUUUGAACUUGAUCUCUGUAACUUACGACUUUCCUGUUGAGAAUCAAAAAUCAAGAUUCAGGAAUAGGGAUACAAACCAUUUUUAUCAUGCACCAUUUUUAAGUUUUUAAUUUACUCCACAGUGAAAAAGCAUGUGCUCCACAAAGAUGCAGAGGGGACCAUCAGCAAAGCUUCUUCAACUGCAUUUCACUGUCUCCAGAUGUUUUGAACGGAACUUUGGAGAGAGCCCUUACUGUUAUCACAGAAUUUUAAGCAUAUAUGCACAAUUCUAGGGUUGCUGUAAAGAAGACUGAAGGGAACCUCUGUGAGUGAAAUUGUUGUGGUUGUCAGCCAGAUUGGCAUGGACUUGCACAAAGGUAGAUGUGUUGUAUGUAAUUUACAGCAUUCUGUAGAGUGUGAUUCUGCACGGGACAGGUCUUGGCUUUCCUGUUGAGAUGUUAGGGCUGAAAUGUCAGGAAAUUUAUUGAGAGCUUAAAGCUGGUCUAACCCCAGAAAACAGAACUAAAGUCACAGUUCUUAGAGUAUUGAGUAUUCCUAGAGAACAAAUGUUCAUGUUCUUGACAUUUUUAAAUGUUCUUUUCUUUAAAAUAGUUGUGGAAAAGUAUCCUGACAGUGGGUUCUGUAAGACACGACCUUUCUGUGCUAAUGUCAGUGACCUGUUCACUGAUAAGAGCAGAACACUCCUGCACAGCAUUUUCAACACUGGUUUCUUUCCCCGCAUAUUUCACACAGCUCUUCUGGAAAGAUCAGAAUGUAGACCUAAUGCACAGACUUGAUCCCAAGAUGAGAGGGCAAGUGGGUAUCCUUUAUAACUUUAAUAACACAUUAAAGUAUGGUUUUUAACCCAAGGAAGAAACCAUUUGUUAGAAUGUUAAUAUAUUUGGACAAUUUUAAAGUAAAUGUAAAAAUUUAGUAAAAAUCAUGUGCUGGUUUUAUGCAUCCAAUUUUGCAUGGAUUCCAUAUCCAGGUUUUUGGAUGUUGGUUCAUAACCUAAGUUUUAUUCAUUUAUUUUAACUUUAGAAGAAAAUACAGAAUUAUCAAAAAAAAAAAAAAAAAAAAAAAACCAUGGAAACGAUAUGUUGAGAGAAAAUUGCUGCCAUUUAGUGUAACCAUGGGAUGCCAUAUAAAACAGCUCACUUAAAAAGACCCUGUGGUUAAUCCCACACCGGCCGGCACCUGUGCAGGGUGCUGACAGCCAAGACAGGGUGGGGCCUGCCCCCUCCUAUUCCCAAACAGUGUUGGCAGCCAAGGAGGAGCUGCCCGGCACACACACUAACCUGCCUCAGUUCAGCUUUAUGGACUGGGGUGUGUGGUGGGGAAAUCCGGGUUCCUUAGUCCACAGAAUUGAUGAAUUACAAUAGGACACACCUUUGUAGUCAUUCACAAAUUACGUUAAAAUUUCUAAUGACUAGGGGCCACUUGUCCAUCAGGAUGAGAUUUUACUAGUUGAACUUAGGAUUUUUAAGGGACUUUUAGAACCACAAAAAACAUGUAAGGGUGUUAAAACCCCUUUCCCCCAUGAGGAUCUUUGGCUUUAAUAUUAAAUUUGUAUAUAUUUGGUUUUGUGAUACUUACAGAUGAACACGUUUCCAUGUCCAAACUUGCGUGCAUUUCUCAUAUGGCUCAGAAUAUUUGACCAUUCUGUUUAUGUUAAGGUAUCAUUUGUAUAUCCACAAACAGCUGCUGACUUUUGCUGAAUCAACUUAGGAAUUAAUUUACCAAUCUGGUCUUGAUUGCGAUAUGUGUAAAAUAGUAGAUCAUGACUUGAGGAUGUUUUUAGUUCAUGCUGAUGCUCACUUGAAUGUCAGUUUAAAAUAUUCCCCUACUGGCAACCAAAUGUGUGUCUGCAUAGCAGCAUUCCCUGGGCAGGAGCAGCCCCACUGGCUUACCCUCCUGACUGCUAUCUCACAGCUGUGAGGAGAACCUUGCUGGUUGAGGAUUUUGAAGGACAAACCAUUGUCUCUUUCUUGGGAAGUGUAGAUACAGGCUUAUUGAGUUUCUGAGCAGCAUAAAAAUAAUUCCUUAGCUCUUCACUAUGGAACCAAAGCGUUCUGCUGUGAAGUGCAAUUUUACAGGGUCACGGGAGGCAGUGCUGUGACCAAGGGGCAGUAUUUCCAUGGAGGACAGGGGCACCUUUCCCAUUGCAAAAGUACUUUCGUUUCCUCUGUGUUGGGGUUGGGAAGAUCCUUGUUUCUCCAAGCUGAACUAGGAUUGGCCCCGUAUGGCACAGCUGCACUGUGCCAUAAAAAUGUGCUGAGUGGGGUGCACGCUGCAGCCACUGUAGACACAAUGAGCCACACUGUUUUAAAACAGAUGUAUUAAAACAGAUGGGCAGCCUCUUUAUAUAAAAUGGGACCAGAGCACAGCUAACACACUUAAUUUUAUACGUUCCCUGUACCUAGUUUCAAGUCCAUUUACUGUUUAUAUUGUCAAUGCUUCCAGCCUAAAGAAAAUUUUUUAUAAGCACAUGGGUUUUUAGCUUUACUGUCUAAAUAAACUUGGUGUCAUAACAACAGACAGCACCCUGUGAAACAGUACUGUUGGGUCUUUUACUGGCCUUUCAAGGAGUUAGGAUAUCUUAUACUUUGUCAGGUUAUUUGUAUGACAAAACACAGACCAAACAACUAUAAAAACAUUGCAGAAUCCUACAGACAGCUUGUUAAAAUGCAGCCAUUUGAUAGUGAAAGCAUAGAUCUGUAGUUUUACCUAAUUCUUACACCGAAUAUAAAUAAUAUAAAGUGAACUGUAACAUUUUAUUUCCCAUUUAUUGCCUGUCACAAAAAAAAGGGCUGUGCUUACUGUGGGAGGACUGAGCAAGCAGGUGCACUUUGGAUGAGGACGAGAGGCAGAGGGAGGUGCCUGGCUCCCAACCUGGCAACAGUGUGCUAUUUUUUAUCCUAUAAACACAGUGUACCACAGUUUUUCCUGCAACAUGAAUUUAUAAUGUUGCCUGAACUGUCAUAUUUGUAAAGCAGAGGUUUUUAAAGGUGGGGGAGAGGACAGAGUGUGUAUUAAUGUGUACACACAUUAAAUGUUUGCCCAUUUAAUUAUUUAUGUGUUUUUUCCAGUUUUCUGUAUUUCCCAGACUAAACGUGCAGCUUGCAUUUGCAGCAUGUCAUUCCAGGUGUGUGACUGCUCGCCACUCUGCAGACAGUCACCGUGCCACACUAAGAUGGAAGGUACCUCUGAGAGCCACAGGUUAAAAAGAUAUGGAGAUUAGGUCACACUGGAUCUCAAAGAAGUCUUGUUUUGAGAAUUAGGGGAAGUUUGCUUUUUUGUCUUUUAAAUUCAUUUACAACAAAGAAUGACUCAGCUGGGGAAGGUAGAGUGGGUAGAAAAGAUGAAAAGCAAUGUUUAGAUGAAAAGCACGAGUGUCGGAUUAUAGAAUUGUUUUAACGGGUUUUUUUUUUUUUUUUUUUUUAACUUGCAUGUUCUGUGGCUAACUAUCCGAGUAUAGGUAGGUAUUCCAGCUUCCCCAAUACUCACUAUUUCUAAGAAGUCUCCAUAAUCACCAGGCAGCAUUUCCAGGAUGGGCAGAGAGGACAACCCAGUCCUCUCUCCUGACUUCUGCAGCUUUGACAAACUCUGGUGUCUCACGGGGUUUCUCACUGUGCUGUGUCUUGCCAGGAAGGGCGUCAGAUGUGUGGUUCAUGACAAGUGGAAGGUCGUGGAUCAUUUUGCAUGAGUAAAGUUCCUUAGAGCUAAUGAAACUGACAUGUUUCCAUCCAUUCUGGGUAAACAUCAUACUGGCAAACUGACUUAGCAUUUACUAGCUUAGUGCAAUAUUAGAAAGAAGCAGAAACACUAGCACGUUGUACUUGGCUUCAUGGGUGGCUUUCUUACCACAACAUUAAGUGGACAAUGCAUAGUGGAUUGUAAAUGCACCUCCUGCAGAUUUACAAGAAAUAUGCUCAGUUAACAUUCUAAAGUAUUAAAAGUACAAAGAAAACACUAAGCAAGCAUCUAUAGCAAUACUACAAAGCCUACAAUAAUUGUUUUGACUGUUGCCUUUUGCUCAUUAGUGCAAAUUUUCUGCAUUGUAAUUACUGUAUUGCUUUGUAUUUCUUGUUUUUUACACCUGAAUUGAGAGUUAAGUACUUGUCCACCAAGUAUUGCAAUCAAUCACUUUUCUCUUGUUAUACAUGCGAUGUAAUAACAUACAGUUUUGGUGCUUAACAAUAUUCCUUUUUUCUUUAAUAAAGGGUAUUUAUUUGAACUAA